rnacentral:lncRNA from 1 species
UCACUAAUUCACGGAAACACUUCUGAAACCUUAGGCUUCCAUGUUUAUAUCAAAUCUCUGAGAGAGACAGUGCGCUCAUAUGACGAGAUUGUGCUAUUUUUCUUCACAAGUCUUUCAUGUGGACAUUGCAGAAAUCCAGUUCUCUUAGAUGGUACGUCCUGUGAGUAUAAUCAAGUAGGGUAGCUGAGACUGCUAGGCCACUGUGCUUCUUGGCUUAGCUAGGUACUGAGCAUACUCCUGUUAGUCGAGCUGUACAGAUGAAAUAUUCCUGUAGUGCGCCUAAGUUAAGGCCUUAUUCCCUUCUCCUUGAGAUUUUUAUCAGAAAAUGUAUAAAUGGUAAUAUGAGUGGUCUCCCCAUCUCACAAAGAUGACAAAAAAUUUGAUUUACAAUGUGUUCUGUAUUUUGAAAUGAGUAUGUUUAUCUUAUAUAAUUCUUUGAUUGCUAUUCAUCAGCCAGUUCAGUGCAAGGAAGGGCAGACUUAUAGAAGACUUUUAUUAACUUUGUCAAUAUGUCUUGAGGACUAUCGUCCUCUGUGUUAGUUCAAUCCUUUAGAUGUUAGUACAGUGUUUAUGAGAAAACUGUUACUAGAAGCUGAAGAACAGCUCAGUGGCAAGGAACCUUCCAGCAUGUGCAAGACCCUGGGGUCGGUCCUUAGUGCUGAAAAAAAGAAAACGAAGUGACUCCGUCGGUGUUCUGUUCUAAGCCUUGGAGAAUGACCUUCAUAUUUAUAGAUUCUAUGUCUUAUGUCUUAACCAGUCAGUGAUAAAAUCCAGGAAAUGUUUUUUAACAAAAUAAAAUUUUGUUUGUAAAAUGUUUAUAAUAAUAUAAACGUGGAUCUUAUACAUGUUCAAUAAAAAGCAGUAUCUCAAAACUUU